ACACCCUCAAAUCUGAAUUAUUGCUUGUCCUUAAGCAAAAAUGUAUGAGUAUGCAUGAAUUUGCCUAAACAUUACAAUUUCCAAAUAUAUCACUAGACUAUCUGAAAUAUAUUUUUCACCUCUAUUCUCAGCAGUCUUCUAAAUAAAGAAAAAAUGGUUCGAGUUUUAUAGACUUGUUUAGCAAUUGAAGUGCAAAAAAUGUUUCCUAAAAAUAAAAGUUCCUAAAUAAUUAAGCAAUUAUGGCUAUAGCAGACCUCUU
rnacentral:lncRNA from 1 species